AAAAAUUACUCUCUAUUUAGUGAAAAUCCAUCACACCUAAUUUCCCUAAUUUUCUACCCAUAAUCUUGCACACGAACGAUUCAUACGGUAACAAGAGGCAUUCAUGUCUUGAUUGAGAGAAGAUCCAACAAUAGUUCUGUUUUGUAGUAUAUGAAAGAUGACCUUAGUUGACAUAAUCUUCAAUUAUGGUGUAGAAUGGAUUAAAACACAAAAUGUCAUGUAUUUAAACCUUACAGCAACCCAAUCAACCCAAGAAAGACAUGUUGUUAACUUCAUGUCUACACCAACAUUAAGGCAGCAUGCACCACAAUUUUCAGGUCCAAGACCAAGUAUUCCAAGUCAUACGCCAAAUUUUGAGUUAUCUGAUACUUCAAAACAAAUAUCAAGCAAGGGAGAUGCUACUACAUUACAACGUAAUGUUCAUCCAGAUUUGACAAUCAACCUUCCAAAUCAUGAUCGAGAUCCUACUAUAAGGCCUAUGGUAGUGUCAGAAAGCACAAUAUUUCGAGCUAGGCAACAGGAACCAAUUCCUUCAGGAACUAGGAUUAUUAACUUUGUUGGUGAUCAAAAUGGAGUAAGUGUUCCUUCAAAUCUUCCCUACUUACUAACCAACCUCACAUGGAAGGGAAAAGCUGCUAUAACUCAUGGUCAAUUGGAGAUGCAAAAUAGGCAAAAAAAUAAAGAAAUUGAAGCCAAGAAAAGGGCAACAGUGAUCUAUUGGGUUGAAAAAUCUUUUUGUUAUGUUUCAUGAGGUUUUAAUUACUGUUUAUGACAAUAUUUUUUAGUUAAUGUCUUUUCAGUUUUGCUCUUUUUUGUGGUGAACAUUGAACAUGAAACUCACAUUAUGACACUUUAUAUUAGUUAUGAUGUAAUUGUCAUGAUGUUGCUGAAAACAGUGGUUAAUUGUAAAAUGUUGACGUGCUGAAAUGAUGUUAAAUCUGCAACUAUAUUUCGUGUGUUUG